rnacentral:rRNA from 1 species
GACGAACGCUGGCGGCGUGCCUAAUACAUGCAAGUAGAACGCUGAAGGAGGAGCUUGCUUCUCUGGAUGAGUUGCGAACGGGUGAGUAACGCGUAGGUAACCUGCCUGGUAGCGGGGGAUAACUAUUGGAAACGAUAGCAAAUACCGCAUAAGAGUAGAUGUUGCAUGACAUUUGCUUAAAAGGUGCAAUUGCAUCACUACCAGAUGGACCUGCGUUGUAUUAGCUAGUUGGUGAGGUAACGGCUCACCAAGGCGACGAUACAUAGCCGACCUGAGAGGGUGAUUGGCCACACUGGGAAUGAGACACGGCCCAGACUCCUACGGGAGGCAGCAGUAGGGAAUCUUCGGCAAUGGACGGAAGUCUGACCGAGCAACGCCGCGUGAGUGAAGAAGGUUUUCGGAUCGUAAAGCUCUGUUGUAAGAGAAGAACGAGUGUGAGAGUGGAAAGUUCACACUGUGACGGUAUCUUACCAGAAAGGGACGGCUAACUACGUG